rnacentral:tRNA from 1 species
GCUCCCAUGGCAUAGUGGUCACUGCACUCGCCUUGCACGCGGGAGACCUGGGUUCGAUUCCCGGCGGGGUCA